UACGGAGGGUGCAAGCGUUGCUCGGAAUUAUUGGGCGUAAAGGGUAGGUAGGUGGUCUCAUUUGUCUGGGGUGAAAGCCUUGAGCUUAACUCAAGAAGUGCCCCAGAAACGGUGAGACUAGAGUCUUGGAGAGGGUCGUGGAAUUCCCGGUGUAGCGGUGAAAUGCGUAGAGAUCUGGAAGAACACCAAAGGCGAAGGCAGCAUCCUGGGAAGUUCCUGACGCUCGGGUGCGAAAGCCAGGGGAGCGGACGGG
rnacentral:rRNA from 1 species